CUAGGGUUUAUUCCUUUUCGUUCUUCCUCUUUCUUGAGUUACAAAAUUCAACCCCACAAUUUUUUUCUCUCCUCUCAGUUUCACUGGCGCUAAAUGAAUCUCUCCUCCCUCUUCCUCACCGCAAAUUGUUGCCGCCGGUGUUUUCUCAUUUCCCGGCGAUGGAGCUCAAGAAUCUGAAAUCUCAAGAAUCAUAAUCUGGUUACUUCCGGCUUCAAUUUCAUCGGAAUCGUUUGGAAACAUAAAUUGGAAACUUGGAGAACUUCGACAUGUAGUUGCCAUCGGAGAUUUCUGUCACCAUCGGUUGGGCUCCCGGCUUCUGCUUCGAUCUUGAGUUUGAGCAAGGAUAUGUACACGAGAGCCUCUCUGAUCACCGCUCUCUGUCCACCUUGACUCUGCGAAACAAAUCCAUUGCUGCAACUGUAAGUAUAUAAGCUGUACACGUAUAUAUCGUUGAAGCUGAAAGCUGGAGAAUCUUUGAAACAAGAUUAAGAUAUAUGUAUAUGUGUGUACAUACAAGUUUGAAGUCUGUGAGAUUUGUGGGAAAAUGAAGCUUCCUCUGUUUUGCUCUGUU